UCCGGUUUGUCACCGGCAGUCUCACUAGAGUGCCCGUUACCGUAGCAACUAGUGACAAGGGUUGCGCUCGUUGCGGGACUUAACCCAACAUCUCACGACACGAGCUGAUUACAGCCAUGCAGCACCUGUGUCCAGGCUCCUCGUUUCUGAGGAGUUUCCCAUGCAUGUCAAGCCUAGGUAAGGUUCUUCGCGUUGCGUCGAAUUAAACCACAUGCUCCACCGCUUGUGCGGGCCCCCGUCAAUUCCUUUGAGUUUUAAUCUUGCGACCGUACUCCCCAGGCGGGAUGCUUAAUGCGUUAGCUGCGCCACUGACGGGUAAACCCGCCAACGGCUAGCAUCCAUCGUUUACGGCGUGGACUAC
rnacentral:misc_RNA from 1 species